rnacentral:lncRNA from 1 species
UGAUAGACUUUCUUCUACAGUCUUGAUGGCAUAUCCCAUCUUAAGUUUGAAUGAUCCUUUGUUAUAAACAUCAUGUAUUGGUACCUUGGGAAUAUUCCAAUUUUGUAUAUUCUCCUCAAUAUCAUUUAUGAUUAUCUGUUCUUUAUUUUUGACUCUAAGUUUGGAAGAUGAAGGUACAGUUUUACUAGUAAGAUUUCUUAUGAGAUUUGCCAUCCGUAGGUUGCGGAUAAUGACAAUCUGGACAUUCAGUGGCCUUAGCUUUUUUCCCUAAGCGGCUCUCCUGGCCUUGGCGGUACUUGUCGCAUCGGCGUUCACUUGUCUCUUGUCUUAACUCUCGGACCAACUUUCUUGGUGGUCAAUCUCACUUAAUUUCUUAUAGUAAAAUGUCUCUUAAUCUUACUUAUGAGGUAAGAAGAACAGUUGUACAAAUUCCACAGUUAUAACUGUUUGCACAGUUCCACUGUGGAAUAGUUCUUACUGUUGCAAUUU